rnacentral:lncRNA from 1 species
UUGAUUUGGGUUAAGCAUUAUUGGGCUAAUCAUGUGUUGAUCCAAAACUUUAACUCAAAUUCUAGAAUAAUCUUCCACCUCCUUAAGUUAAAAAAAAUCUAGAUAUUGUUAUAGAAAAAUCUAGAUAAUUAGAAUAAAAAAUCUAGAUAUUAUGUUAGAAUUAUCUAGAUUUAAGAUUAAAAUAUUUGAGAUAUUUUGUAUUAUGGGGGCUAUAAAUACCUCCACUUCCCUUUCAUUUUGUAUCACCAAGAAGUAUCCAGGUUUGUAAGAAUUAUCUAAGUAAUAAGAAUCCUCUUCUAAGUUAUAAAAGUUUUCUUCUUCACAAAGCUUCUUUCUCUUCAAACACUUAAACACUUUCUCCUUCCUUAUAAAGUUUUUCAUUCCAACAAAGUGGUAUCAGAGCGUUUGAAGACUCACACUUACGAGCUAGUGAAGCUACCAAAAGGAAAGAGAGCCUUGAAGAAAAAGUGGGUGUACAGGUUGAAGUAUGAGGAGAGAAGCUUAAAUCCAAGAUACAAAGCCCGAUUAGUUGUGAAAGGAUUCAACCAGAAGAAAGGUAUAGAUUUCGAAGAAAUAUUCUCUCCAGUGGUGAAGAUGUCCUCUAUCCGAGUGGUUCUUGGUCUAGCAGCGGUUCUAGACUUGGAGAUUGAACAACUCGAUGUCAAGACGGCCUUUCUACAUGGUGAACUCGAGGAGGAGAUCUAUAUGGAGCAACCUAAAGGAUUCAAGGUUCCCGGAAAAGAAGAUUUGGUAUGCCGAUUAAAGAAGAGUCUUUACGGUCUCAAGCAAGCCCCAAGAAGAGUCUUUACGGUGAAAACUGAUGUGGCUUUAGGAGAUGAAUCGAAGAUGGAAGUGAAAGGUAAAGGAAAUAUUCUCAUCCGUUUGAAGAAUGGAGAUCAUCAAUUCAUUUCCAACGUUUACUACAUUCCAAGCAUGAAGACCAACAUCUUGAGCCUAGGACAACUCUUAGAGAAAGGUUAUGACAUUCGACUAAAAGAUAAUAGCCUUUCUUUAAGAGAUAAUGCAAAUAAUCUCAUCACAAAGGUGCCGAUGUCAAGUAAUAGAAUGUUUGUCCUAAACAUUCAACAUGACAUCGCAAGGUGUCUCAAGAUGUGCUACAAGGAGGAAUCUUGGCUUUGGCAUCUUCGAUUUGGGCAUCUCAACUUUGGAAGCUUAGAGCUACUUUCCAAGAAAGAAAUGGUGAAAGGAUUACCUUGCAUCAAUCAUCCAAAUCAAGUGUGUGAAGGUUGCUUACUUGGAAAGCAAUUCAAGAUGAGUUUUCCAAAGGAGUCAGAUACAAGAGCAAGAAAGCCACUAGAACUCAUACAUACAGAUGUAUGUGGCCCAAUCAAACCAAGUUCACUUGGUAAGAGUAACUACUUCCUUCUCUUUAUUGAUGACUUUUCAAGAAAAACAUGGGUUUACUUUUUGAAACAAAAAUCAGAAGUGUUUGAAAAUUUCAAAAAGUUCAAAGCCCAUGUUAAGAAAGAAAGUAGUCUUAAGAUCAAGUUCAUGAGAUCAGAUCGAGGAGGAGAAUUCAUGUCCAAGGAGUUUCUGAAGUAUUGUGAAGAUAAUGGCAUUCGACGACAGUUGACGGUGCCAAGAACCCCUCAACAAAAUGGAGUAGCGGAAAGAAAGAAUAGGACAAUACUUGAGAUGGCAAGAAGCAUGCUCAAGAGUAAGAAGCCACCAAAGGAGUUGUGGGCAGAAGCAGUUGCUUGUGCGGUUUAUAUAUCAAACCGUUCUCCAACAAAGAGUGUUUUAGAAAAGACACCACAAGAAGCUUGGAGCGGAAGGAAGCCUGGAGUCUCACACCUAAGAGUCUUUGGAAGCAUUGCUCACGCUCAUGUUCCAGACGAGAAGCAGAGCAAACUAGAUGAUAAAAGUGAGAAGUACAUCUUCAUUGGGUAUGACGCUAACUCCAAAGGCUACAAGCUCUACAAUCCUGAAACAAAGAAAACAAUCAUUAGUCGGAAUGUCAUCUUUGAUGAAGAAGGAGAAUGGGAUUGGAGAUCAAAUAAUGAAGACUACAACUUCUUUCCAUCCUUUGAAGAAGAGAAUGUGGAGCAACCGAGAGAAGAGCCAGCUACACCACCAACUUCACCAACAACAAGUUCUCAAGGAGAUGAAAGAUCAAGUGAAAGGACUCCACGUUUUAGAAGUUUACAAGACAUCUACGAGGUAACCGAAAAUCAAGACAAUCUUACUCUAUUUUUUCUAUUUGCGGAUUGCGAGCCUAUGAAAUUUGAAGAAGCCCAAGAAAAGAAGUCAUGGAGAAGUGCAAUGGAUGAAGAAAUCAAGUCGAUUCAAAAGAAUGAUACAUGGGAGUUAGCUUCACUUCCAAAUGGACACAAGGCAAUUGGUGUGAAGUGGGUGUACAAGGCAAAGAAGAACUCUAAAGGAGAAGUUGAAAGGUACAAGGCAAGAUUGGUGGCAAAAGGCUAUAGUCAAAGAGCCGGGAUCGACUAUGAUGAGGUAUUUGCUCCAGUUGCUCGCUUAGAAACGGUUAGACUAAUCAUUUCAUUGGCAGCUCAAAAGAGUUGGAGGAUACAUCAAAUGGAUGUCAAAUCAGCCUUCUUAAAUGGAGACCUUGAGGAAGAAGUCUACAUUGAGCAACCACAAGGCUACAUAGUUAAAGGAGAAGAAGACAAAGUCUUAAGGCUGAAGAAGGCGCUUUAUGGAUUAAAGCAAGCACCAAGAGCAUGGAACACUCGGAUUGAUAAGUACUUCAAGGAGAAAGGCUUCAUCAAGUGUCCAUAUGAGCAUGCACUUUAUAUCAAAACUCAAAACAAUGAUAUAUUGAUUGCAUGCUUAUAUGUUGAUGACUUGAUAUUCACUGGAAACAAUCCGAUUAUGUUUGAAGAUUUCAAGAUGGAGAUCAAGGAGAAAGGCUUCAUCAAGUGUCCAUAUGAGCAUGCACUUUAUAUCAAAACUCAAAACAAUGAUAUAUUGAUUGCAUGCUUAUAUGUUGAUGACUUGAUAUUUACUGGAAACAAUCCGAUUAUGUUUGAAGAUUUCAAGAUGGAGAUGACAAAGGAGUUCGAGAUGACCGACAUUGGAUUGAUGUCAUACUACCUUGGCAUUGAAGUAAAGCAAGAAGAAAAUGGAAUCUUCAUUACUCAAGAAGGCUAUGCUAAAGAGGUGCUUAAGAAGUUCAAGAAGGAUGACUCAAAUCCAGUUUGCACGCCAAUGGAAUGUGGAGUCAAGUUAUCAAAGGAAGAAGAAGGAGAGAGUGUGGAUCCAACACUCUUUAAGAGUUUGGUUGGAAGCUUACGAUAUCUAACGUGCACAAGGCCCGACAUCCUACACACAGUUGGAGUUGUGAGUCGAUACAUGAGGCAUCCAACAACAACUCAUUUCAAGGCAGCUAAGAGGAGCCUACGCUAUAUCAAAGGUACAAUCAACUUUGGCUUGUACUACUCUAUCUCUUAAGAUUACAGGCUUAUUGGAUAUAGCGAUAGCGAUUGGGGUGGAGAUGUAGAUGACCUGAAAAGCACAAGUGGCUUCGUGUUUUUCAUUGGAGAAACCGCUUUCACAUGGAUGUCAAAGAAGCAACCAAUAGUCACCCUUUCUACUUGUGAAGCGGAGUAUGUGGCAGCUACUUCAUGUGUUUGCCAUGCCAUUUGGUUACGAAACUUGCUAAAGGAGUUGAACCUACCACAAGAGGAGCCAACAAAGAUCUUUGUGGAUAACAGGUCGGCAAUAGCAUUGGCGAAGAAUCCAGUCUUCCAUGAUCGGAGUAAGCACAUCGAUACUCGUUAUCACUACAUUAGAGAAUGUGUUACCAAGAUGGAUGUGCAGUUAGAGUAUAUGAAGACAAAUGAUCAAGUAGCUGAUAUCUUCACCAAGCCACUCAAGCGAGAAGACUUUAUCAAGAUGAGGAGCUUACUCGGAGUAACCAAAUCAAGUUUAAGAGGGGGUGUUGAAAAGUAAACUUGAUUUGGGUUAAGCAUUAUUGGGCUAAUCAUGUGUUGAUCCAAAACUUUAACCCAAAUUCUAGAAUAAUCUUCUAGCUCCUUAAGUUAAAAAAUUCGAUAUUGUUAUAGAAAAAUCUAGAUAAUUAGAAUAAAAAAUCUAGAUAUUAUGUUAGAAUUAUCUAGAUUUAAGAUUAAAAUAUUUGAGAUAUUUUGUAUUAUGGGAGCUAUAAAUACCUCCACUUCCCUUUCAUUUUGUAUCACCAAGAAGUAUCCAAGUUUGUAAGAAUUAUCUAAGUAAUAAGAAUCCUCUUCUAAGUUAUAAAAGUUUUCUUCUUCACAAAGCUUCUUUCUCUUCAAACACUUAAAC